rnacentral:rRNA from 1 species
GAUGAACGCUGGCGGCGUGCCUAAUACAUGCAAGUCGAGCGAACAGACGAGGAGCUUACUCCUCUGACGUUAGCGGCGGACGGGUGAGUAACACGUGGAUAACCUACCUAUAAGACUGGGAUAACUUCGGGAAACCGGAGCUAAUACCGGAUAACAUGUUGAACCGCAUGGUUCAACAGUGAAAGACGGUCUUGCUGUCACUUAUAGAUGGAUCCGCGUCGCAUUAGCUAGUUGGUAAGGUAACGGCUUACCAAGGCAACGAUGCGUAGCCGACCUGAGAGGGUGAUCGGCCACACUGGAACUGAGACACGGUCCAGCCUCCUACGGGAGGCAGCAGUAGGGAAUCUUCCGCAAUGGGCGAAAGCCUGACGGAGCAACGCCGCGUGAGUGAAGAAGGUCUUCGGAUCGUAAAACUCUGUUAUUAGGGAAGAACAAAUGUGUAAGUAACUAUGCACGUCUUGACGGUACCUAAUCAGAAAGCCACGGCUAACUACGUG